UACGUAGGGGGCAAGCGUUAUCCGGAUUUACUGGGUGUAAAGGGCGUGUAGCCGGGCUGACAAGUCAGAUGUGAAAUUCCGGGGCUCAACCCCGGACCUGCAUUUGAAACUGUUGGUCUUGAGUAUCGGAGAGGCAGGCGGAAUUCCUAGUGUAGCGGUGAAAUGCGUAGAUAUUAGGAGGAACACCAGUGGCGAAGGCGGCCUACUGGGCUCUAACUGACGCUGAGGCACGAAAGCGUGGGUAGCAAACAGG
rnacentral:rRNA from 1 species